rnacentral:rRNA from 1 species
CUUGGUCAUUUAGAGGAAGUAAAAGUCGUAACAAGGUCUCCGUUGGUGAACCAGCGGAGGGAUCAUUAUCGAGUUAUUCAACUCCCAAACCCUAUGUGAACUUACCACUUGUUGCUUCGGCGCGCGCUUCGGCGCCGCCGAGGACACUUAAACUCUUUGUUUUUAUAAGCAUUUCUGAGUGGCCGAAAGGCAAAAAUACAAAUGAAUCAAAACUUUCAACAACGGAUCUCUUGGUUCUGGCAUCGAUGAAGAACGCAGCGAAAUGCGAUAAGUAAUGUGAAUUGCAGAAUUCAGUGAAUCAUCGAAUCUUUGAACGCACAUUGCGCCCGCCAGCAUUCUGGCGGGCAUGCCUGUUCGAGCGUCAUUUCAACCCUCGAGCCCGACUCUUCUGAGGACGGCUCGGCGUUGGGGGACGGCAGACUCCCCCCGGCAUCUCGCCGGGGACGCCGCCCCCGAAAUCUAGUGGCGGCCCUCCGAGGCGACCUCUGCGUAGUAACUUGUUCUCGCACCGGAAGCUCAGAGCGGCCACGCCGUAAAACCCCAACUUUUUUCAGGUUGACCUCGAAUCAGGUAGGACUACCCGCUGAACUUAAGCAUAUCAAUAAGCGGAGGA